GCUUGAGGACAAGACAGUUUCCUAAACAGUUUUGUAAGCAGUAUAUAAGCAGUUUCCUUGUAUAAUUUGAUUGGGUUCAAGAGAAAUUUAAUGUUGGGCUCAAUGUUCCAACAAAUAUAACAAAACAGGAAGCCAACAACUGACCGCCAAAAUUGAAUUCUGGGUGCCAAUUUGUAUUGUUGGACAAAGGCUAUAUAAACCAAUGAAGAGGGAGCCUGCUGGCCAUAAGCUGCAUUUAGAUUUAAUGAAGAAAUGAUGUAGUCAUUUAACAAUUGACUUUUAGAAGAGGAGUGGGACAAAAUUCUAGUUGGCAUACACAAUUUUUUGUGUCUCUUUCAAGAAUAACAACUGAGAUCAAUGGAUGAUCUAUAAACCUAGCUGCGC